rnacentral:piRNA from 1 species
UCGGGGCAAGCUUGUUGGUCUACAAAGU